rnacentral:rRNA from 1 species
ACUCAAAGGAAUUGACGGGGGCCCGCACAAGCGGCGGAGCAUGCGGAUUAAUUCGAUGCAACGCGAAGAACCUUACCUGGGUUUGACAUAUGCCGGAAAGCCGUAGAGAUACGGCCCCUUUUAGUCGGUAUACAGGUGGUGCAUGGCUGUCGUCAGCUCGUGUCGUGAGAUGUUGGGUUAAGUCCCGCAACGAGCGCAACCCUCGUUCUAUGUUGCCAGCAAGCCCGCAAGGGUGUUGGGGACUCAUAGGAGACUGCCGGGGUCAACUCGGAGGAAGGUGGGGAUGACGUCAAGUCAUCAUGCCCCUUAUGUCCAGGGCUUCACGCAUGCUACAAUGGCCGGUACAAAGGGCUGCGAUGCUGUAAGGCGGAGCGAAUCCCAAAAAGCCGGUCUCAGUUCGGAUUGGGGUCUGCAACUCGACCCCAUGAAGUCGGAGUCGCUAGUAAUCGCAGAUCAGCAACGCUGCGGUGAAUACGUUCCCGGGCCUUGUACACACCGCCCGU